rnacentral:tRNA from 1 species
UCCCCCAUGGUGUAACUAGGCAGCACUGAGGGUUUUGGUCCCUUAAGUUCAGGUUCAAAUCCUGAUGGGGGAGCC